rnacentral:lncRNA from 1 species
CACUUUUUUAAUAUUCCAUAUGAGAAGACAGACCCUUUCAUUCCAGUGCUGGCUGGGCCUAAGGCAAGAAAUCUUGAGCUGUAAAGAAAGACUUUCAACAUAAAUAAUGAAAAGAGGGAAAAAGUAUCAGGUGAGCCAGGUGCAGUGCCCUGUGUCUAGACCCUGGUACUCAGGCAGCAUAAUGAGAUCCACACACAUACUCUGCCCCAAUAAAAUCUCCAUGUAAUCCACUGCCUUGUUCCACUGGCUCAGAAAGUGUUGGAGUGAACAGAGAAGUUACAGUUGAAGCCAUUGUAAUGCGGUGGCCUUGUGAUUCUGAGACUGCCUGAAACCCUUGGCCUUUAUUAGAACCUGGUGCAGGGUGGUCUGGAACCUGGGCUGGGGAGUGGUGCCACAGUGGCAGAGGACAACUCCAGCCACACUCACUCAAGCUGUCCCACAAAUAUUUCUGGAGUGAUGGAGGCCAGUGCUAUCUAGUAACUGCUGUUCCCUCCAUUCCCGACCCUAUUUCUCACCCCAGGUACCUGCUAUACAACUUCCCCAUGACCUGCGCCUUCGUGGGUGUGGCCAGCAACUUCACAUUCCUCAGUGUCAUCGCGCUCUUCAGCUAUAUGCAGUGGGUGUGGGGUGCUGUCUGGCCCCGACACCGCUUCUCUUUGCAGGUCUCAAGGGGCAAAGCGCCCGUUUUCUUACCUUGGUGAUCAGGGGCAUGUUAGGGAUAGGGUGUGAUUACUACAGAGGGGAGUCAGGCAUCACUGCUCGGUGGUUACUGCUCCACAGGUUAAUAUCCGACAAAGGGAUAAUUCAGGACACGGGGCCCAGCGUCGGAUCUCUCGCCAUCAGCCAGGUAAAGCGGUUGGUUGACAGUAUCAUUGAGGGUCUGCCUGCUCCAGUAUAAAGCAUGUUGUACACUGGAACUGAGGGUGCAAGGAGAGGUUGGAGGAGGUGGAGUUGGCACUGCAAGACAAGACUAACCACUGACCCUAGCUGUCCUCUGUUUGUGGGACCUGAAGGUCAGGCGUCUACCCAGCAGUCAGAUGUGACAGAGGAUGGCGAGAGCCCUGAGGAUCCCUCAGGAACAGAGGGUCAGCUGUCUGAGGAAGAGAAACCAGAGAAGCAGCCUCUGAAUGGAGAAGGGGAGCAGGAGCCAGAGGCUAGUGACGGCUCCUGGGAAGAUGCUGCUUUGCUGACCGAAGCCUCAACGUCUGCCCUCGCCCCUGAGACUCUGGGCAGCCUCAGGCAACGCCAGACCUGCUCCAGUUCCUGAACAAAAGGGUGGAGUCUUCACAUUCCAGCACUUUCCCAUAGGGCACCUCUUCCCUUGUUCCCUUAAUAAACUAUUUUGUGUCAGCUGCUAGUAUGGACAUCAGAG